rnacentral:snRNA from 1 species
ACCCUUCACACUUGUAGGAG